rnacentral:tRNA from 1 species
GGACAGGUGGCUGAGUGGUUUAAGGCACUCGACUCGAAAUCGAACGAAGUCUAAAAGCUUCCGUGGGUUCAAAUCCCACCCUGUCCG